GGUACAGCGAGGCGAAGCCGCGAGCUUGGCGGGGGGCUCCGGCGGGGAUCAGGCCCAGGUUUCAGUCUAGCUCGGGCUCCGGGCCUCGCCCGCCUGGCCGUGCUGCUGCGGGGCAGAGCGGCUCUUCCAGCGGGCGGCCGCUGUGGUCACGGGGGCAGAAAGCUGGAGCUGACGGGGUGUGGUGGAGCGCGGGGGCCGCCGGCGGGGGAGGGCGCAGGGCAAGCGGUGACUCAAAGCUGCUGUGUUCGGCGCUGCGCCGCGCUUCUUCCGCGGGCGGGGCUUCAUUGCUGGCUAAUGAGUUGCACUAAUGGCGCUUGAGUUUCACAGAUGCGUGGCUAGGCCUCCGUCCUGUGGGAGAUGGUGCAACGGUCCUGCCCUUCAUCGAUGGAAGUAGGUGUUUUCCCCACCGGACCUGCUCGGGCACUUAGUAACACUGACUCGUCCCUGAAGACACCAAGGCAAUGGACAGCGUCAUCUGAGGACACAGAUUCCCAAUGUUGUGCAUGGGAUCAGUUCCCUGACGACAUUUUCCUUCUUCCUUCCAGCAGUCUCAAGCUUGACUGGAUUCAGCUUUAAUCAGCUGUUCUUCAUCCAGGAUAUACUGAGAAAAUGGAAUGCAACUGUCCCUCCUCUGCCUUCUCUUUUUUUUUUUUUUUUUUUUUUUUUUUUUUUUAGCUGCAGGUACCCAUGCUCAGAAUUUUGAUCCAACACGCUGCCUUCUUCCCUCUUCCUACAAAACUGCCAGUUGGGAUUGAUAGGAGGGGAUGCACUUUAGGCCUUAAUUUUAGCUGGAGUCAAAUAAAAAUAUUGCUGUGUUGGUAACUGAAGAAAAGGUAAAUGAUGUGGUGUAUGUUGUUAGAUCAAAAUGGCAAAGAUGUGUCUUAUGCCUCAUGGUUUCUCUUUCAAAUGUAUGUGAAUGUUACAAAAAGCAGUUUUACCAGGUGCUGAAUUCUUUUCCUAGUUUCUUCACUGCCUGAGUACUAUCUGCUGGAAUAAUUUGUGCUAAGGAGGAGAAAUUAGGUUCUCUUUUUUUAAGAAGGUGAGGGGGGAUAUAUAAUUGCAGAAGAACAGCUGUCUAAGCUUCUCAGAUUAAAUCUGGCCUAGAUCUGUGCAUAUUAAGCAAAAGUGGUAAGUAUUUUGAUGGAGUACUUAGAUAAUGUUUGAUUUGCCUUCUGUGAAAGACUGUUCUGUUAUGUUACCUGCUGACAUGUUGUCAGAGAUGAAUCAGCCAACUUUUUCAUCUUUAUGACAGACUUCCUGACCAGCAAACAGCGAAGUGUGGUGGGCAGAUUCUAGAAACAACUUUCUUCAAUGGAUGAUGUGUGGGAAGCCUGCUUUGUACACCUUCACUGCUGUCCCCUAUUUUUAGGAAUAUACAAUUUACUUUGAUUCCAAUGUUUUCUUUGCCUAAAGAAAAUAGGUUUCCUCCUCCCACGCAGACAUAGAAGGUUGAUGCUCUUGUCACAGUAAUUGCCAGGGAAGGCCAACUUAAACAAAGCUGGGGGCAAUUGCAAUAUCAAGUUGGCUUGUAAGUGUGGUGCGUGAAAAGCGGUAUAGAACAGAUUUUAUUGUAUUACAUAAUUCACUUUUUUCCCCCACCAGUGCUGAGCUUUCCAAUCUUUGUUACUGUCAGUCUGCAGCCAUCUGUGAUGUUCAUUAAUCACAAUUUGCUGUGGCCUUCAGAAGUUUCAUUUAUAUGUCACACUGUGCAUCUGUGAAGUGACUUCUAGAAUUUCUGUGUUUUCAGUCACUAAGGGUAUAGUUCCAAGUUACACAACAGGCUCACAUGCUGACACUGUAGUGCUGACUGUAGCAUUGCAGGAGAUGGUGCUGCAAUAGUGGAAGUGCUGUUAUUUUGGAUAACAUGGUAACAGUUUUCAAGUGGUUCUGUAGUUGAAGAUGGAGCUUGACACUUCUCAAAAUAAGUAGGUGAAUCCUUUGUCUGUUCUAAUACUGCUUUUGUCAGUAAACCAUUCCCAUGUCUGUACACCUCAGCCCCUAUUAUGUUUGCCUGUACUUGCACUAUUAGUGAAAUCUAACCUUUUAUGAUUUGAAGACACUUCAGACUGUCACAAUUGUGAAAGUGACUGUAGUCCAGUGGUUUUCAAACUUUUUUUUUCUGAUGACCCAGUUGAAUAAAAUUGAUGCCCACGACCCAACGGAGCUGGGGAUGAGGGGUUUGGGGUAUGAGAGGGAGCUGGGGACUGGUGGUGCUGGCUCAGGUGUGACUGGGGAUGAUGGGUGCAGAAGGGGGUCAGGGCUCUGGGUUUGGGAUGUGGAUGAGAGGCUCUGGGUUUGGGAUGUGGGCUUACCUCCAGCAGCUCCCGCUCAGCAGCACAGCUGGGGUGCAGAGGCAGGCUUCCCUCUUGUCCUGGCACCACAGACCAUGCUGUGUCCUGGAAGAAGCCAGCGGGUCCAGCUCCUAGGCAGAGGCGCACAAGCAGUUCUGCCCAGCUGUCGCCUGCAGGCACUUCAUGCCUCUUUCAUCCCCAUCCCCCCCCCCCCCGCUCCAGGAACCAACCAGUGGGAGUGUGGAGCUGGUGCUCAGGGUGGGGGUAGCAUGUGCAGCUCCAUGGCCCACCUGUCUAUGAGCUGGGCCUGCUGGCCGUUUCCACAGCAUCGUGUCAGAAUAGGUAAAGAUUACUAGUUUUUACUGCCUGGCCACCAGGGUCCCUGGGUGCUGAACAAGGUGACCCAGUGCCUUGCAUUCUGUGACCUAGUACUGGGUUGUGACCCAAACUUUGAAAACCACUGCAGUAGUCCAUAUCUUUCAUCUGUCUGACAGCACCUGAAGAAAGUGUCCUUGAAAACAAAACUUCAAGUUUCUGGUGAGCAUACUCUGUUCUGAAUAGAACAAAAAUGGAACAAAAUGGUCUGUGUAGAGGUAGAACCUUUCUGGGAAGGAAACAAAGGCGUUUGGACAGGUAUAAUCCCUUCCUGGCUUUGCAGUUUUUAGGUUAAGAUGAAAAUGUAAGCAGAAAUCUACAUAACCAAGUUCAUUUGUAGAAAUGCAAGUAUGAGACUGCAGCUCUUCAGAAUGAAAAUCUUACAUUCUUCAAGGAAAUUCUUGUUCUGUGAAUUGUAACAAUUCACUGCAGGCUCAUGUAAUAAAGCAGAUCCACACCCAAAGUAACUUAGUAAUUCCCAGAUGAGACCUAUGUGCACAAAAAUAGAAAAUUCAGAGAUUGUGGUUCCUACUUGAAUUGUAACUUGGCCAUGGUAGAUGCAGCUGUUAGGUAUAUAAAUGUGUUUU